AUUGAACGCUGGCGGCAGGCCUAACACAUGCAAGUCGAACGAGUGGCGGACGGGUGAGUAAUGUCUGGGAAACUGCCUGAUGGAGGGGGAUAACUACUGGAAACGGUAGCUAAUACCGCAUACCAUCGGAUGUGCCCAGAUGGGAUUAGCUAGUAGGUGGGGUAACGGCUCACCUAGGCGACGAUCCCUAGCGGGGCUGAGAGGAUGACCGGCCAAACGGGAACUGAGACACGGUCCAGACUCCUACGGGAGGAAGCAGUGGGGAAUAUGGAAAAAUGGGCGCAAGCCUGAUGCGUCCAUGCCGCGUGAAUGAAGAAGGCCUUCGGGUUGUAAAGUACUUGCAGCGGGGAGGCGUUACCCGAAGAAGAAGCACCGGCAAACUCCGGGCCAGCAGCCGCGGUAAUAA
rnacentral:rRNA from 1 species